AGUGGGGGAUAUCGUAGCGAAAGUUACGCUAAUACCGCAUAUCCCCUGAGGGGGAAAGGGGGGGAUCCCAAGACCUUUCGCUUUCGGAGUGGCCGAUAUCAGAUUAGCUAGUUGGUGGGGUAAAGGCUUACCAAGGCGACGAUCUGUAGCUGGUCUGAGAGGACGACCAGCCACACUGGGACUGAGACACGGCCCAGACUCCUACGGGAGGCAGCAGUGGGGAAUUUUGGACAAUGGGGGCAACCCUGAUCCCCCCAUGCCCCGUGAGUGAAAAAAGCCUUCUGGUUGUAAAGCUCUUUCUCACAGAAAGAAAUCGCGCCGGCUAAUAUCCCGGGGGGAUGACGGUACCCCAAGAAAAAACACCGGCUAACUACAUGCCACCAGCCGCGGUAAUACGUAGGGGGCGAGCGUUAAUCUCAAUUACUGGGCGUAAAGCGUGCGCACGCGGUUUUGUAAGACAGACGUGAAAUCCCCGGGCUUAACCUGGGAACUGCGUUUGUGACUGCGAGGCUAUAGUGUGGCAGAGAGGGGUAGAAUUCCC
rnacentral:rRNA from 1 species